rnacentral:rRNA from 1 species
UACGUAGGUGGCAAGCGUUGUCCGGAUUUACUGGGCGUAAAGAGCGCGCAGGCGGUCGUUCAAGUCGCGUGUGAAAGCCCCCGGCUCAACUGGGGAGGGUCACGCGAUACUGAUCGACUCGAAGGCAGGAGAGGGAAGUGGAAUUCCCGGUGUAGUGGUGAAAUGCGUAGAUAUCGGGAGGAACACCAGUGGCGAAGGCGGUGCUCUGGGCCGGAACUGACGCUGAGGAGCGAAAGCGUGGGGAGCAAACAGG